GAUUCAGGCUGUAGUGUGAGAAGGUCAGUUGUACCACUAAUUUAAACUUGAUCUUCUCUUCCUUAGAAGUUGCAUCUAUCAAAUAUUCAUGGAUACUUGUGCUCGAUCUUCAGGGUUAUUUAGCAAAGUAUUAUUGAAGAAAUGCAGAUCCUAUGGAGGAACUGAACCACUAAGCAUGGAAUUCAGAAAUGCAGAUUUAAAGCUCAAGGCUUUCCUGUGAUAAAACCCCCAUCAGCACUCAACAUAGUCCUUGAAAUUGCAAACUGCACAUAGUUAGACUUACUUGGCUGAUAAAUGACUUGCAUUAAGCAAUGACUGGUGGUCUUUACUGCCUUGCAACUUAGUGCAUAUGGAGAUUAUGCUUCUUUGAACAUGUAUAGCCACAGGAGAGAUACAGAACUCGCUCAGAUUGCAUGUGCUGUUCAUGCACAUAAAACUAAGUAUUUGUUCUUAACACUUCAGCCAGUGGGAUGGAUUGUUCAGACCACAAUCUAACACAUCUACACUGUUCAGGCAACAUGCAACUUCUGUGCCCAGGUGGCACCUGAGACUAGCCCAGCAUUCAGCAGUUCAUGACUUGCAGUAGCAUCCGAGCUGUGGGACAGGGGAAGAAUGAUCUCUGACAGCCCUCCCUCAAAGCCACAGUGCACUUAGUAGAACUUCAAUGGGGGAGGAGUUUGUGUCCCUAGAUUUGGUGUCAUACACUAGUGUGUGGGUGCUGAAGAGCACCUGGAUUUGUUCUCCUGGUCUAAAUUCCUCAGAAAUUUUGUCUUCUGGCUGACAGAAUUCGAGGGGUAACAUAACAGGUUUUCAGUACCUUUUUAGUACAGAGACCAUUUAAAAACUCCAGUCUAUGUUUCUUAUAUCAAACUGUGAAGAUAUUCAUUGUCACUCUGUGGAUAACAUUUACAGCCCUUAAAGUGAGGCAGGAUGGAGUAAGAGCUGUAAUCAGGAGAUGGAGGAGAUUGAACAUUUAACUCCCAGAUGGGGGCAGCAUUGCUUUAAAAUGAAAAAACAAGACCCAGGAAGUCCUGAACUGGUAAUUAAACUGCUCACUCUGAGGGAAGUAGAUAGACUCCCAAAUCAGACUAAUAAAUCUGUGGGUUAAUAACACGUUAGUCAGAUCAGCAUGCCCCGCAAUCACUGCUGUUGAUCCAUUUGUCUGUUUAUACAAAGUGAAUUGAUUUUAACCAAGGAAUCAUCAAAGAGAAAACUUGUAAG
rnacentral:lncRNA from 7 species